UACGUAGGGUCCGAGCGUUGUCCGGAAUUAUUGGGCGUAAAGGGCUCGUAAGCGGUCCGUCACGUCGGGAGUGAAAACUCAGGGCUCAACCCUGAGCGUGCUUCCGAUACGGGCGGACUAGAGGUAUGCAGGGGAGAACGGAAUUCCUGGUGUAGCGGUGGAAUGCGCAGAUAUCAGGAGGAACACCGGUGGCGAAGGCGGUUCUCUGGGCAUUACCUGACGCUGAGGAGCGAAAGCAUGGGGAGCGAACAGG
rnacentral:rRNA from 1 species